rnacentral:rRNA from 1 species
UACGAAGGGGGCGAGCGUUGUUCGGAUUUACUGGGCGUAAAGGGCGCGCAGGCGGUCUUGAAAGUCAGGCGUGAAAGCCCCGGGCUUAACCUGGGAAUUGCGCUUGAUACUCUGAGACUGGAGUACGGGAGAGGAGAGUGGAAUUCCCAGUGUAGAGGUGAAAUUCGUAGAUAUUGGGAAGAACACCAGUGGCGAAGGCGGCAUCCUGGCCCUGUCCUGACGCUCAGGGGCGAAAGCGUGGGGAGCAAACCGG